UGAGGAAUAUUGGUCAAUGGGCGCAAGCCUGAACCAGCCAUCCCGCGUGCAGGAAGACGGCGCUAUGCGUUGUAAACUGCUUUUCCAGGGGGAGAAACUUGCGCACGUGUUGCGCAAUUGACGGUACCCUGGGAAUAAGCAUCGGCUAACUCCGUGCCAGCAGCCGCGGUAAUACGGAGGAUGCAAGCGUUAUCCGGAUUCAUUGGGUUUAAAGGGUGCGUAGGCGGACUAUUAAGUCAGUGGUGAAAUCCUGCAGCUUAACUGCAGAACUGCCAUUGAUACUGAUAGCCUUGAGUUUGGUUAAGGUAGGCGGAAUGUGUAAUGUAGCGGUGAAAUGCUUAGAUAUUACACAGAACACCAAUUGCGUAGGCAGCUUACUGAGCCGACACUGACGCUGAGG
rnacentral:rRNA from 1 species